rnacentral:rRNA from 1 species
ACUACGAGCUUUAGCUUAAAACCCAAAGGACUUGACGGUGUCCUACCCAACUAGAGGAGCCUGUUCUAUAAUCGAUAAUCCACGAUACACCUAACCACUUUUUGUUAAUCAGCCUGUAUACCUCCGUCGUAAGCCUACCGUAUGAACAUAUAAUAGUAGGCUCAAAGACUUAGCGCCACAACGUCAGGUCAAGGUGCAGCUUAUAAAAUGGAAGCAAUGGGCUACAAUUUCUAAACUAGAAUAAACGAAAUACUACAUGAAAUAUAGUCAUGAAGGAGGAUUUAGCAGUAAGUAGAAAAUAGAGAGUUUUACUAAAUUUGGCCCUAGGACGUGUACAAACCGCCCGUCACCCUCUUCAAUAGCCUUAACUAAGAUUAAUAACACUUUUUCGCGCCUUAGAAGAGGUAAGUCGUAACAUGGUAAGUAUACUGGAAAGUGUGCUUGGAAA